UACCCCAAACCGACACAGGUGGUCAGGUAGAGAAUACCAAGGCGCUUGAGAGAACUCGGGUGAAGGAACUAGGCAAAAUGGUGCCGUAACUUCGGGAGAAGGCACGCUGAUAUGUAGGUGAAGCGACCUGCUCGUGGAGCUGAAAUCAGUCGAAGAUACCAGCUGGCUGCAACUGUUUAUUAAAAACACAGCACUGUGCAAACACGAAAGUGGACGUAUACGGUGUGACGCCUGCCCGGU
rnacentral:rRNA from 1 species